rnacentral:rRNA from 1 species
AUUGAACGCUGGCGGCAGGCCUAACACAUGCAAGUCGAGCGGAUGAAGGGAGCUUGCUCCUGGAUUCAGCGGCGGACGGGUGAGUAAUGCCUAGGAAUCUGCCUGGUAGUGGGGGAUAACGUCCGGAAACGGGCGCUAAUACCGCAUACGUCCUGAGGGAGAAAGUGGGGGAUCUUCGGACCUCACGCUAUCAGAUGAGCCUAGGUCGGAUUAGCUAGUUGGUGGGGUAAAGGCCUACCAAGGCGACGAUCCGUAACUGGUCUGAGAGGAUGAUCAGUCACACUGGAACUGAGACACGGUCCAGACUCCUACGGGAGGCAGCAGUGGGGAAUAUUGGACAAAGGGCGAAAGCCUGAUCCAGCCAUGCCGCGUGUGUGAAGAAGGUCUUCGGAUUGUAAAGCACUUUAAGUUGGGAGGAAGGGCAGUAAGUUAAUACCGUGCUGUUUUGACGUUACCAACAGAAUAAGCACCGGCUAACUUCGUG